AGCUUUAUAGUCAAUAUAUGAUUUUAGAUUGCAAGUCUUAAGUAGUGAUUAAUUCACUAAAGCUU
rnacentral:tRNA from 1 species